rnacentral:rRNA from 1 species
CGGACGGGUGAGUAACGCGUGAGAAUCUGCCUUCAGGUCGGGGACAACAGUUGGAAACGACUGCUAAUACCGGAUAUACCUAACAGUGAAAGAUUAAUUGCCUGAAGAGGAGCUCGCGUCUGAUUAGCUAGUUGGUGGGGUAAAAGCCUACCAAGGCGACGAUCAGUAGCUGGUCUGAGAGGACGAUCAGCCACACUGGAACUGAGAAACGGUCCAGACUCCUACGGGAGGCAGCAGUGGGGAAUUUUCCGCAAUGGGCGAAAGCCUGACGGAGCAAUACCGCGUGAGGGAGGAAGGCUCUUGGGUUGUAAACCUCUUUUCUCAGGGAAGAAGUUCUGACGGUACCUGAGGAAUCAGCAUCGGCUAACUCCGUGCCAGCAGCCGCGGUAAUACGGAGGAUGCAAGCGUUAUCCGGAAUGAUUGGGCGUAAAGCGUCCGCAGGUGGCAUUGAAAGUCUGCUGUCAAAGAGUCUGGCUCAACCAGAUCUCGGCAGUGGAAACUACAAAGCUAGAGUACGUUCGGGGCAGAGGGAAUUCCUGGUGUAGCGGUGAAAUGCGUAGAGAUCAGGAAGAACACCGGUGGCGAAAGCGCUCUGCUAGGCCGUAACUGACACUGAGGGACGAAAGCUAGGGGAGCGAAUGGGAUUAGAUACCCCAGUAGUCCUAGCCGUAAACGAUGGAUACUAGGUGUUGCUUGUAUCGACCCGAGCAGUACCGUAGCUAACGCGUUAAGUAUCCCGCCUGGGGAGUACGCAGGCAACUGUGAAACUCAAAGGAAUUGACGGGGGCCCGCACAAGCGGUGGAGUAUGUGGUUUAAUUCGAUGCAACGCGAAGAACCUUACCAGGGCUUGACAUGUCGCGAAUCAUGGGGAAACUCGUGAGUGCCUUCGGGAGCGCGAACACAGGUGGUGCAUGGCUGUCGUCAGCUCGUGUCGUGAGAUGUUGGGUUAAGUCCCGCAACGAGCGCAACCCUCGUUUUAGUUGCCAGCAUUCAGUUGGGCACUCUAGAGAGACUGCCGGUGACAAACCGGAGGAAGGUGGGGAUGACGUCAAGUCAGCAUGCCCCUUACGUCCUGGGCUACACACGUACUACAAUGCGCCGAACAGAGGGCAGCGAGCUAGCGAUAGCAAGCUAAUCCCGGAAAUCGGCGCUCAGUUCAGAUCGCAGGCUGCAACUCGCCUGCGUGAAGUUGGAAUCGCUAGUAAUUGCAGGUCAGCAUACUGCAGUGAAUUCGUUCCCGGGCCUUGUACACACCGCCCGUCACACCAUGGAAGCUGGUAGUGCCCGAAGUCAUUACCCCAACUGAAAAGAGGGGGAUGCCUAAGGCAGGACUGGUGACUGGGGUGAAGUCGUAACAAGGUAGCG